AUUGAACGCUGGCGGCAUGCUUUACACAUGCAAGUCGAACGGUAACAGGUUAAGCUGACGAGUGGCGAACGGGUGAGUAAUGCAUCGGAACGUGCCCGGUCGUGGGGGAUAACGCAGCGAAAGCUGCGCUAAUACCGCAUACGCUCUGAGGAUGAAAGCGGGGGACCGUAAGGCCUCGCGCGAUCGGAGCGGCCGAUGUCAGAUUAGGUAGUUGGUGGGGUAAAGGCUCACCAAGCCGACGAUCUGUAGCUGGUCUGAGAGGACGACCAGCCACACUGGGACUGAGACACGGCCCAGACUCCUACGGGAGGCAGCAGUGGGGAAUUUUGGACAAUGGGCGCAAGCCUGAUCCAGCAAUGCCGCGUGCAGGAAGAAGGCCUUCGGGUUGUAAACUGCUUUUGUACGGAGCGAAAAGGUUCUCUCUAAUACAGAGGGCUCAUGACGGUACCGUAAGAAUAAGCACCGGCUAACUACGUGCCAGCCGCCGCGGUAA
rnacentral:rRNA from 1 species